rnacentral:rRNA from 1 species
UACGGAGGAUGCGAGCGUUAUCCGGAUUUAUUGGGUUUAAAGGGUGCGUAGGCGGGCUUUUAAGUCAGCGGUAAAAAUUCGGGGCUCAACCCCGUCCGGCCGUUGAAACUGGGGGUCUUGAGUGGGCGAGAAGAAGGCGGAAUGCGUGGUGUAGCGGUGAAAUGCAUAGAUACCACGCAGAACCCCGAUUGCGAAGGCAGCCUUCCGGCGCCCUACUGACGCUGAGGCACGAAAGUGCGGGGAUCGAACAGG